UAAUUGGAAAGGAAAAGAAAAUGAAUCCCAAGACUUUCUCUUUUAGAACCGAUGGCCCUCACGCUCUCUCCUUUUUUGAACAGAGGAACUAUCUUCUUAAAAAAAAAACAAAAACAGAGGAAAUAGUGCUCUCUUCUCUCCUUAAAGCUUCUCCUUCUCUAUUAUGGCCGCUAGUACCGAAUCCGGCCUCGAUUUAACCUGAAUCCUCCUCAAAUGGCCGAAUCGGGGGGUUCGCAGAAUCCAAACUCAAACGAAAUGGAACAAACACGCAUAUGAAAAAGAAACAACACACCAUAUCGAGCAUGAACAGUCAAACAAAACGGCAAGGAUACAUCAGGCGCGAUUAAAUCGGAGCAACGAAGAACUUACCUCUUGAAGACUCCUUCAACAGGUGAGAGGUGGAAUUGGAGGGAGAGUUGGAGCCAAGAUUUUUGAAAUGAAAAUAAGUUUUAGUGUCCUGAUUCAUGCUUUCUGAUUUCAUAUUACUAUCUUACCGUUUUUGUGCAAGGUGUAAGGCAGGUCUGACAGCAGCAUUUUUGGACUGUUUUUGCUGCACUUUUUGGACAGCAAAAGUAACGGGAAGCAAUGCUUAAGAGUAGUCAAUUAUCUUGCCUUAGUAACUUUAUAGGUUUAGGAUACAUAGGCUAUUAGGAAGAUCUUAAAGUCCCACAUUAGUUGGAUUCAUAUUGAAUGCUAUUAGGAAGAUUUUAAAGUCCCAGGUUAGUUGGAGAUGUAAACUUGAAUGAGAAUGGUCAACAUGACUUGAGAUUUUGAAUGUUCAUGAAUUUCCUUGUGAAUUUAAUUUGAUGAACUUGUAUCUUAAAGUUUGUAUCAAAUUCUUGAAUUGAAUAGAAAUCUUUUCAUUAUAAA